GGAGUAGGUAUAGCUCAGUGAUAGAGUGCAUGCUUAUCAUGCAUGAGGUCCUGGGUUCAAUCCCCAGUACCUCCC
rnacentral:tRNA from 1 species